ACAAUGGCUCCGCUAGGAGCCACUUCACAGAAAGAUGAUUACAUAG
rfam:Loxodonta africana unplaced genomic scaffold scaffold_14, whole genome shotgun sequence.